rnacentral:rRNA from 1 species
UACGGAAGGCAGCAGGGGGAAUAUUGCACAAUGGGCGAAAGCCUGAUGCAGCUAUGCCGCGUGUAUGAAGAAGGCCUUAGGGUUGUAAAGUACUUUCAUCGGGGAGGAAAAAACAAAACUAAUAAUUUUAUUUCUUGACGUUACCCGAAAAAGAAGCACCGGCUAACUCCGUGCCAGCAGCCGCGGUAAUACGGAGGGUGCUAGCGUUAAUCAGAAUUACUGGGCGUAAAGAGCACGUAGGUGGUUUUUUUAAAGUCAGAUGUGAAAUCCCUGGGCUUUAACCUAGGAACUGCAUUUUGAAACUGAAAUACUAGAGUAUCGUAGAGGGAGGUAGAAUUCUAGGUGUAGCGGUGAAAUGCGUAGAUAUCUGGAGGAAUACCUGUGGCGAAAGCGGCCUCCUAAACGAAUACUGACACUGAGGUGCGAAAGCGUGGGGAGCAAACAGGGAUUAGAUACC